GGCUCGAACCCGGGUCUUCUCGCUGCAAGGCGAGAGUGCUAACCACUACUCCUACCGUGUGGCCCAAUUUGGGCUACACCCUGGCUAGGCCGCCAGUCCAUCACAGGGCCAACAACAGUCACACCUAUGGCCAAGAGUGUCCAACCAUGUUCCUGGAGAAAACCCACAUCCACAGGAGAAAACCCAAUGCAGGAAGCAAACCCAGGUCUUAUUGUUGAGGCAACAGUGCUCGCUAGUACCCUGCUGUGUGACCCCAUGUUUUUAUACUAUAUUUAGAACCUGUCAGCUUAGAACAAUAAAUGCUAUAUAGACUAGAUCUAUCCUUAGUCAGUGGUGAAACUAAGACUUAAUUUGUCAUUAUAAUAAUCAACAAAUGUUCAUAUGAAUUCAAAACCAGUCCUUGUGUGUUUACAAAUUUUAUUUUGUACUAUUGUACUAUUUGUUUUUCAGUGUGGUUUGAAAAAAGUGAAUCAAACCAUGUUACGUCAAUGUCAGUAUACAUAACAAAAAGUUCUCUUAUCAAAAGGGGUUUUGUAAGAUUUUGAGAGAUAAGUAAUACGACAAAAUCAUCACUUCAAAAGUUUCAGUCAUUUUGGACAAUGGGUUGACAGUGACCACAGUUAUAUCAUGACGUGAAAUACAAAUAAAACAUGAAACACAACUGUCAA